UUGAAGAAUGCCUGACUAAAGGAUUAUUUUGAUGUAAUAAAUUAUGUUACAUAGUAACUUCUUCU
rnacentral:tRNA from 1 species